CUACGGGUGGCAGCAGUGAGGAAUUUUGCGCAAUGGGCGAAAGCCUGACGCAGCAACGCCGCGUGAGUGAUGAAGGCCUUCGGGUCGUAAAGCUCUGUCAAGUGGGAAGAACCUAUGUAAUGUUAAUAUCAUUAUAUACUGACGGUACCACUGAAGGAAGCACCGGCUAACUCCGUGCCAGCAGCCGCGGUAAUACGGGGGGUGCAAGCGUUAUUCGGAAUCAUUGGGCGUAAAGGGCACGUAGGCGGCCUGGUAAGUCAGAUGUGAAAGCCCGGGGCUUAACCCCGGAAGUGCAUUUGAUACUGUCAGGCUUGAGUAUGGGAGAGGGAAGUGGAAUUCCUGGUGUAGAGGUGAAAUUCGUAGAUAUCAGGAGGAACACCGGUGGCGAAGGCGACUUCCUGGACCAAUACUGACGCUGAGGUGCGAAGGCGUGGGUAGCAAACAGGAUUAGAUACCCUGGUAGUC
rnacentral:rRNA from 1 species